UACGAAGGGGGCGAGCGUUGUUCGGAUUUACUGGGCGUAAAGGGCGCGCAGGCGGCGCAUUUUGUCAGGCGUGAAAUCCCCGGGCUCAACCUGGGAACUGCAUUUGUGACUGCAUCGCUAGAGUACGGCAGAGGGGGAUGGAAUUCCGCGUGUAGCAGUGAAAUGCGUAGAUAUCAGGAGGAACACCGGUGGCGAAGGCGGUUCUCUGGGCAUGACCUGACGCUGAGGAGCGAAAGUGUGGGGAGCGAACAGG
rnacentral:rRNA from 1 species